rnacentral:misc_RNA from 1 species
GAAACGCACAGAUAGAUCUCCACACCCAGACAGGAGAGAGAGUUUUUCAGAUUUGUCGCUUUUUUGCAGUUUCUAAUUUGUGGCUCUUUUUUUUUUAAAUUGUUGGUGUCUGUGAAGGGAAGGAGGACAUGGUGGGCUCAACAAAAGCCACCACUGAUCCUCAUCGUCAACAAUAUCAUCACCAACUGAUGGACGGUGACGCCGAUCAUCAUCAUCAUCUUCACCACGCUUCGGAUGAGGACGACCCUUCUUCUUCUGGGGUUUCGUGCUCGAUUUGCCUUGAUACGAUAUCGGAUAAUGGGGGCAGAUCCAGAGCUAAGCUCCAAUGCGGCCAUGAAUUCCAUCUGGAUUGCAUUGGUUCGGCAUUCAAUAUGAAAGGAGCAAUGCAAUGCCCAAAUUGCAGAAAAGUUGAAAAAGGCCAAUGGCUCUAUGCUAAUGACUCUACUCGUACCUUACAUGAGAUGAGCAUGGAUGACUGGAUCCCUGAUGAGGACUUCUAUGAUCUAAGUUAUUCUGAAAUGGUAGAAUGCAGUUGCUUUUUGUUUGUCUCCAGUAUUUUGCAGUGAAUUAUUUAAAUAACACAUAAUUUAGCAUGUGCAAUUUAGUACAGGCAUGUGGUGAACUUAGCUACAGCCUUAUGUUCUAAUGGCAGUUGUGCAUAGCUGCGGUUGAAAUGCUAACUUCUAUUUUUUAUGAGUCUGGAUAUGAAUGAUAUUCUUAUAUCCAUUGUUCUCAUUUAAAGCUUAAUGCAUCUUUGCAUUUUUUUCAAUAAGAAAAGUUUCCAUACUUUUAGAAAUUAACCUUUGUUGGCAUCAAGUUUUCUAAGAACCAUGGUGCUGUUGUAGACUGUAAAUAUCUAAGCCAUGAUAGCAGAGAGAAGGGUGGGGGGUGUUGCGGGGGGAGGAUCCAUCUCCUCUGUGGAACUCAUAAGUGGGCUUUUAGAGCUGCUUUGCUUUUCUUCACUUUCUUUAGUGUAUGUCCAAGAAGCUUAUCAAUGUUCUACUUUUUAGUGUAUUGUUUCUUACAGUUCAUUUAUAGCAGUAAUUGAAUCAGGUUAGUCAUCAGGUAUUAACAAAAAAACACACAUUUGAUUUUGACUUUGUUUGAUGGUGGUUGUGGUAAGUACAAUUUGUGAACUUCCAUUGACCUGUACAUUAAUGGGAUACUAUUCACCAUGCUAUGCUUGUAAAUAAUCUUACGUCAAUCAGUUAAUAGUUAAAGCAUUUUCACCAAUUUUUUUAAUUAUGUUGUACCUUUUAAUUUUAGGAUAAUAACAUGGUUUUCAAUUUAGCAAAUUUGCAUUGGAGAUGGCUGUUUUUGUUGGAGCCAAUACCAUGCUGAGUUUAGUACUAAUGGUUCAAAAGGUAGAAACCAGGUGUUUAGCUAGAAGGCCUUGUGAUUGUAAUGAAUUUUGAAUUUUGCAUAAUUUCUCAAUAUUUGGUGGCCUGCCUGAGUAAUCAAUAUUUAGGCAAUGACUUCCUUAACUACUUACAGACAUUAUUCCAAAAUUUUGCAAUGUUGGCCUUUAGAUUAGAUCUUGCAUACAUAGAAUGUCAUUUGGAGUCUCUACUCCAUUACAAAACAUGACGUUAUACCUUAGAUCCCUGGUGAGUAUAAAUCAAAUAGUUUCAGUUAGGCUGAUUCAUGUGUUCCUCUAAAGUGAAGCAAAACCUUAUUUUAAAGCUGGAUGGGGCCUAAAGUGCUGUCAGUGCUCCUGUUGAACUCAGAA